rnacentral:lncRNA from 1 species
CUCAUUUUCUAGUGGGAUGAGUUUUCGCAGGAGGGUAGGACGAUUAGGCACGUACCCUCCAAAGGGGUACUGCCCAAAAUUUAUAGCAGCAUGCUGCCCUGAUGCAAUCCAGAUUAUUGUUGUAAGUAUGCCAGAUAAAUCUUCUUUGGUAUUGAGUUUAGGCCACCAUGGCUCGUUCCUCUUGUCAAAAUGACCUUUAUUUUUUAUCUCAUCCCACCAGGUUUGGAGCUCAAUAUCAGACUUGACAAAGUUAGGCUCAGAGUAGAAGUGAUCAACAUAAGAUUCUACAUAUUCUUUUAU